rnacentral:rRNA from 1 species
UACGUAGGGUGCGAGCGUUAAUCGGAAUUACUGGGCGUAAAGCGUGCGCAGGCGGUUCGUUGUGUCGGCGGUGAAAGCCCCGGGCUUAACCUGGGAAUGGCCGUUGAAACUGGCGAACUGGAGUGUGGCAGAGGGGGGUGGAAUUCCGCGUGUAGCAGUGAAACGCGUAGAGAUGCGGAGGAACACCGAUGGCGAAGGCAGCCCCCUGGGCUAACACUGACGCUCAGGCACGAAAGCGUGGGGAGCAAACAGG